rnacentral:rRNA from 1 species
AUGAACGCUAGCUACAGGCUUAACACAUGCAAGUCGAGGGGCAGCAUGAACUUAGCUUGCUAAGUUUGAUGGCGACCGGCGCACGGGUGAGUAACACGUAUCCAACCUGCCGAUGACUCGGGGAUAGCCUUUCGAAAGAAAGAUUAAUACCCGAUGGCAUAGUUCUUCCGCAUGGUGGAACUAUUAAAGAAUUUCGGUCAUCGAUGGGGAUGCGUUCCAUUAGGUUGUUGGCGGGGUAACGGCCCACCAAGCCUUCGAUGGAUAGGGGUUCUGAGAGGAAGGUCCCCCACAUUGGAACUGAGACACGGUCCAAACUCCUACGGGAGGCAGCAGUGAGGAAUAUUGGUCAAUGGACGAGAGUCUGAACCAGCCAAGUAGCGUGAAGGAUGACUGCCCUAUGGGUUGUAAACUUCUUUUAUACGGGAAUAAAGUGAGGCACGCGUGCCUUUUUGUAUGUACCGUAUGAAUAAGGAUCGGCUAACUCCGUGCCAGCAGCCGCGGUAAUACGGAGGAUCCGAGCGUUAUCCGGAUUUAUUGGGUUUAAAGGGAGCGUAGGCGGACGCUUAAGUCAGUUGUGAAAGUUUGCGGCUCAACCGUAAAAUUGCAGUUGAUACUGGGUGUCUUGAGUACAGUAGAGGCAGGCGGAAUUCGUGGUGUAGCGGUGAAAUGCUUAGAUAUCACGAAGAACUCCGAUUGCGAAGGCAGCCUGCUGGACUGUAACUGACGCUGAUGCUCGAAAGUGUGGGUAUCAAACAGGAUUAGAUACCCUGGUAGUCCACACAGUAAACGAUGAAUACUCGCUGUUUGCGAUAUACAGUAAGCGGCCAAGCGAAAGCGUUAAGUAUUCCACCUGGGGAGUACGCCGGCAACGGUGAAACUCAAAGGAAUUGACGGGGGCCCGCACAAGCGGUGGAGCAUGUGGUUUAAUUCGAAGCAACGCGAAGAACCUUACCAAGUCUUGACAUCCUACGACGCACAUAGAAAUAUGUGUUUCCUUCGGGACGCAGAGACAGGUGGUGCAUGGUUGUCGUCAGCUCGUGUCGUGAGAUGUUGGGUUAAGUCCCGCAACGAGCGCAACCCUUAUCCCCAGUAGCCAGCAGGUAGAGCUGGGCACUCUGAGGAGACUGCCAGGGAUAACCUGGAGGAAGGUGGGGAUGACGUCAAAUCAGCACGGCCCUUACGUCCGGGGCUACACACGUGUUACAAUGGGGGGUACAGAAGGCAGCUACACGGCGACGUGAUGCUAAUCCCGAAAGCCUCUCUCAGUUCGGAUUGGAGUCUGCAACCCGACUCCAUGAAGCUGGAUUCGCUAGUAAUCGCGCAUCAGCCACGGCGCGGUGAAUACGUUCCCGGGCCUUGUACACACCGCCCGUCAAGCCAUGAAAGCCGGGGGUACCUGAAGUGCGUAACCGCAAGGAGCGCCCUAGGGUAAAACUGGUGAUUGGGGCU